rnacentral:rRNA from 1 species
UGGUGCAUGGUUGUCGUCAGCUCGUGUCGUGAGAUGUUCAGUUAAGUCUGGCAACGAGCGCAACCCUCGUGAUGUGUUACCAAUAUCGAGUUAGGGACUCACAUCAGACUGCCGGUGAGAAACCGGAGGAAGGCGGGGAUGACGUCAAAUCAUCAUGCCCCUUAUGGCCUGGGCUACACACGUACUACAAUGGCGGCGACAGAGGGCAGCGAGCCUGCGAAGGCAAGCGAAUCCCAAAAAAGCCGUCCCAGUUCGGAUUGGAGUCUGCAACCCGACUCCAUGAAGUUGGAAUCGCUAGUAAUCGCGGAUCAGCAUGCCGCGGUGAAUACGUUCUCGGGUCU